ACACCCUCUGUUGUGCGUGACAGCUUCAGAAAUGGGCAGUGGGAGAAUCCAGAAGAGACCUCAGGGGGUCCAUUUGUGAAAGGAGGAGGCUUUGAUUUGUUCAUGGUUGUUAAACCAGAAGGCUAUGAGGUAAUCGUGAAUGGGUACGUUUACUGUAUGUUCUGGCACCGUAUGCCAGUGGAGAGCGUGUCUGCGCUUCAUAUCCAUGGAGACAUUUUCAUGACCACCUUUGGCCUCAUUGAAGUGGACAAUGUUAAUAUGAAGGUCACCAUGCCUGCCCAUAUUUGAGGAUACUAAUCAUCUCCAUUAAGUUUG